rnacentral:rRNA from 1 species
AUGGCGAAGACGUCGUGGCCUGAGGUGGUGGGGUGGCCGGAGCUGAACGCGGCGGACCAGAUCAACAUCGACCGGCCGGACGUGUCGGUGGGGUUCUACAUGGAGGGCUCCCCGCUGCCGUCCGGGUACGACCCCCGGCGCGUAGUCAUCAUCGUCAACGCGUCCGGCGUGGUCAUCAGGACCCCAGUCGUCGGCUAG